rnacentral:rRNA from 1 species
GACGAACGCUGGCGGCGUGCCUAACACAUGCAAGUCGAACGAGGUCCAACCAGUGGCAACACUGGGGAAGACCUAGCGGCGAACGGGUGAGUAACACGUGAGAAACCUGCCCCGAAGACCGGGAUAACCCUCCGAAAAGAGAGCUAAUACCGGAUGUCCCCACCGGACCGCAUGAUCCGGUGAGGAAAUGGAUUCCGCUUCGGGAGGGUCUCGCGGCCUAUCAGCUUGGUGGUGGGGUAACGGCCCACCAAGGCUUCGACGGGUAGCUGGUCUGAGAGGACGAUCAGCCACACUGGGACUGAGACACGGCCCAGACUCCUACGGGAGGCAGCAGUGGGGAAUCUUGCGCAAUGGGCGAAAGCCUGACGCAGCAACGCCGCGUGGGGGAUGAAGGCUCUCGGGUUGUAAACCCCUUUCAGCAGGGACGAAUUUGACGGUACCUGCAGAAGAAGCCCCGGCCAACUACGUGCCAGCCGCCGCGGUAAUAC